UGGGGAUUAUUGCACAAUGGAGGGAACUCUGAUGCAGCAACGCCGCGUGCGGGAUGACGGCCUUCGGGUUGUAAACCGCUUUCAGCCAUGACGAAGCUUUUGUGACGGUAGUGGUAGAAGAAGCACCGGCUAACUACGUGCCAGCAGCCGCGGUGAUACGUAGGGUGCGAGCGUUGUCCGGAAUUAUUGGGCGUAAAGAGCUUGUAGGCGGUUUGUCGCGUCGAUAGUGUAAACACGCAGCUUAACUGUGUGCCUGCUGUCGAUACGGGCUGACUAGAGGAGGGUAGGGGAGAAUGGAAUUCCCGGUGGAGCGGUGGAAUGCGCAGAUAUCGGGAGGAACACCAGUGGCGAAGGCGGUUCUCUGGACCUUUCCUGACGCUGAGAAGCGAAAGCGUGGGUAGCAAACAGG
rnacentral:rRNA from 1 species